rnacentral:rRNA from 1 species
CAGCCGCCGCGGGAAUACGUAGGUCCCGAGCGUUGUCCGGAUUUAUUGGGCGUAAAGCGAGCGCAGGCGGUUAGAUAAGUCUGAAGUUAAAGGCUGUGGCUUAACCAUAGUACGCUUUGGAAACUGUUUAACUUGAGUGCAGAAGGGGAGAGUGGAAUUCCAUGUGUAGCGGUGAAAUGCGUAGAUAUAUGGAGGAACACCGGUGGCGAAAGCGGCUCUCUGGUCUGUAACUGACGCUGAGGCUCGAAAGCGUGGGGAGCAAACAGGAUUAGAUACCCCCGUAGUCCCUGUCUCUUAUACA